GAUUUCUACUCAAGAUUUUAGGGAACACAUAACAACUUUUUCCAUGCCCACUAUAGAAGCCACUUUGCUUGUCAAAGGAACAUUGGGCAUAAUUCUUCAAAUUGGGGGAACAAGUAAGUUUGACUCCAAGCUGCAGGGAGAUAAUAUGAGGAUGACAAGAAAAAUGUAAACAAAGAAUGGAGAUGUUGUGCAGAGAGAGCAGCAAGAGGAGGCUGGAGUGUGAUGUUCUGAGAAAUAAUUCUGGAGAAGGAAGUGUGGACCCUUUCCUGUUGCCAGGAGACCACCUGAACCUCCAUUACUGCUACAAAGAAACUCAAGACCUCUGGACAACACAAAGCUGUGAAUGGUGUUUUACUAUUACUGUACCACAGGAUGAUAAACACUGCUUUUAUGCCAUGAGCUUGUUCUUUCUGCAAUUCAUUAAAGAAGUCUGUCUGCCUUAG
rnacentral:lncRNA from 1 species